rnacentral:rRNA from 1 species
AUUGAACGCUGGCGGCAGGCUUAACACAUGCAAGUCGAGCGGGGAAGGGUAGCUUGCUACCUAACCUAGCGGCGGACGGGUGAGUAAUGCUUAGGAAUCUGCCAUUUAGUGGGGGACAACAUUCCGAAAGGAAUGCUAAUACCGCAUACGUCCUACGGGAGAAAGCAGGGGAUCUUCGGACCUUGCGCUAAAUGAUGAGCCUAAGUCGGAUUAGCUAGUUGGUGGGUUAAAGGCCUACCAAGGCGACGAUCUGUAGCGGGUCUGAGAGGAUGAUCCGCCAAACUGGGACUGAGACACGGCCCAGAGUCCUACGGGAGGCGGCAGUGGGGAAUAUUGGACAAUGGGCGGAAGCCUGAUCCAGCCAUGCCGCGUGUGUGAAGAAGGCCUUAUGGUUGUAAAGCACUUUAAGCGAGGAGGAGGCUACUUAGAUUAAUACUCUAGUAUAGUGGACGUUACUCGCAGAAUAAGCACCGGCUAACUCUGUGCCAGCCGCCGCAGUAA